UAUUUGAAUCAUGCCUAUUAUUAACUCAGUGAAUAAAGCGUGUCAACGCUCUGAGAUGCACAGUAGUUUCUGUUUGGUUAGAUAGGGAUACCUGUUUAAUUAGGCAGUUAUAGUAUAGUGAUAUAUUAUAGGGAGAUGGAAACCAUCAACAAAAAUGUGUGUUGCCAAGAGUUGUCGCUGCAAAAUGCACGGAACUUUCGGGCGUAACAAUAGACGUUUCCUGUGGAAAAAUAAGCCUAAGGGGUUAUGGUGUGGCAGCCAUAAUGACAGAGGUAGGCCAACAAUACGCUCCGUCUUGAAGCAGAAGAAAUUCUGCUAUAACGAAAGUCGUCGGUUAAAGUAGCCGUAUGACGGGUGAGAAAUUUAUCUAUUUAACAAUUUUAAUAGUUUUGGUAAGUAAAUUUAUCUGAAUGAACGGUGAAAUUUAUGAGUAAACAGUCUCAUACGGGUUUAUGUAUACGAUAUGGCUCAACUUAUUGUAAUACUGGGGUAAGAAGUUAGGGGUCGCUCCCCGAAGCUCAGACUUAUCUUCCUGGUGGCAGAAUAUUGUAAGAAGACAAUGGAGGUAGGGUGAAGACCCAAUAAUAGGUAUGAUUCAGA
ncrna:unclassified sequences ROOL RNA